UCUGGUGACAAUGGCAAAGAGGUCACACCUGUUCCCAUGCCGAACACAGAAGUUAAGCUCUUUAGCGCCGAUGGUAGUCGGACUUACGUUC
rnacentral:rRNA from 1 species